CGGGAUGUAGCUCAGCUUGGUUGCUCGCCUGCUUUGGGAGCAGGAUGCCGCAUGUUCGAAUCCUGUCAUCCCGA
rnacentral:tRNA from 1 species